AAGCAAAGACAAUAGCAAAAAUGGCAGAUGGAUCGAUAAUAACUGUUCAUGACACAUGAUAUAUUUAGUGAUAUUUGUAAAUUGUCUUUCUAAAUGUUUCGUUAGCAUGUCGCUAAUGUACUGUUAAAUGUGGUUAAAGUUACCAUUGUUUCUUACUGUAUUCACGGAGACCAGAGCCAUGUCGUUAUUUUCAUUUUUUAAACGCUUGCAGUCUGUAUAAUUCAUAAACGCAUCUUCAUUCUUUAUAAAUCUCUCCAACAGUGUGUAACGUUAGCUUUAGCCCCGUUAGCCACGCAGCAUUAUCAAACUGAUUCAGAAUCAAAUGUAAACAUCCACAAAAUACAUGCCAUACUUACGUGAUCUGAUAUGCUGCAUCACGAACACUUUGUAAAGAUCCAUUUUGAGAGUUAUAUUAGCCGUGUGAACUUAUUCUAUUGUUUUUGCAGUGUUUAAUGGAGCACGAGCAUUUAAAGGUUUACACGCACUGAAUCGGCGAUUUUUAAUCACACCCCAAAACAGGCAGUUAAAGGUGCAAUAUGUAAUAUUUUCUGUCCGCUAGAGGCCUAUUCAAAACAAAGGCGUAGCUUGAUGACAACAAGUUUGAGCACGGAAUCUUGGGACAUGUGGUCUUCACCUCAAUGGCCGGUGGAAAAGAAUUGGGAUAGGACUCGGGAAGAAAUCAUGUUCAUGGAUGCGAUUAUUAAUGUCACUGUAGUAUGAAGCAGAGCAGGACUGUGUGUUGUGGGAGCUGAACGAGGCUGCUGGAGCGAUUGUGCAACACACGCCGUGAGCAGCGGAACUUUUAUUAUGCCACAGUCGCCGGCGCCGCUUCCGCUUUUCUGGUCAUGAGGUGGUCCUCAAACUUCAGUCAAGGGCGAGAGGCACGUAAAGCCAGAGGGAAGACAUGGACAGAUGUAUGCGAAUUUAGGUAAUGGUGUUGUGUUUCGGGGUUUGCUUGGCUUGGCCAUCCCUAGUAAAGAUAGUGUUAAUUAAUUUGUUUGCUUUGCCUUAAGCUCUAACGAAUGGUGCUCUCCAGGCCUUGAGGAGCCAUCAUUGGGUGAGGAAUGCCGCCUAAAACCAACAUUUGUUAUACAAAUUAGUUUCAUAUGCUCCAGGUAUAGGGCUGGGGGGGGAGGGAAUUCACCCCCCGCAUAUUUCUGCCCCUCGACCACUGUUACCACUCGCACUCCUUUAUCCACUUGAGCCUUUUUAUAUGCUAUGGCUGCUUAACAAUUUGGGUUUGUAGGUUAAUUUUUCUGUGCCUAACUUGUGGUUUGCCCCAUUUCCUUCUAUGUCAAGACAAAUUUAAGCGAAGAAACUUACAUUGAACCAGACACUGAAGCUGAUUGGAAGAUUUAAGUGAUCACCAGUCUCUCAAAUUGAUGGCCUCAUGACCACAAUGUAUUUCAAUCAGGUUGAUAAAUUAUGAGGUCUGCAUUUUCCAUGGCGUAUCAACAUCUUACAUCACGGAAUGUUCAAUAUUCAUGGAAUGACUGGUAAAACAGAUAAAUUCAGAGUUGUGAAAAACAACAGACUGGAUCGGCUUCAAAGUUUUCCUCCAGUGUUCCUGGAAGCGCCAACGUGUCCUUUAAAAUAUUCCGGCCAGUGUGUGACUGUGUUACUCCGGAGCUGCUUAUUUUUGAUGCGACUGUCUCUAUGCAUGAUCAUGUGCAAGCGACUCAUUCCAAGCAAGAGUGUUUUUCUUGCUCAAACACAGAGCAGAAAUGUGCCGUCAAACAGAUGUUAGGAGCCCUUUGUAGAGUCCUGGCACACAUCCAGACUCUACCUAUCUUCACAACUAUUUACAUGGUAAUCCAGCUGGUCACUCCCUCUGUUUCUCUCUCUCUCUCUCUCUCUCUCUCUCUCUCUCUCUCUCCCUCUCUCUCUGUAUGUCUUAUUCAGGCUCUUGGAUCAAUUUGAAUAUAUUUCUGUUUUAAAUCGGUCAAAUAUUACAUCAAACCCUAUCAAUCUAUCAGCAUGUUAUUCAAUAAUUAGUACUAGGUGAAGACAGAAUCUGUUGAUUGGAUUUAAUGGAAUAGUUCACUACAAAAUGUCAUUAUUUAUGACAUGGUUUAAAACUUAUAUGCUUUUUUUUUUUUUUUUUCUGUGGAACACAAAAGCAGCAUUUUUCAAGAAUUUUCACACUUUGUGAGACAUACAGACCGAAAUGUAUAAAUGUAAGGGUUGGUUCACGCAAAAGGGGGGGGGGGGGGGGUAUUCACAUACAAACAUUGGCCAAUGCACAUACAUAGAGCACAUUAAAAAUGGUAAAAGGAAGAUCAAGCAUGUAUGUGUAUGAUGCGCAAAAUCCAGUGAGGUUUGUUCUCGCGCAUCAAGCAAGCACGGUUGAGCUUCUGUAUACUUUUUUGUGCACAAAAACAAAAAUAACUUUAUUCAGUUAUUUCUUCUCUCCCGUCAUUCUCCUACGCUAUUUUUGUUGCAGUGCUUCCAGGUUCUACAUCAGAAUGCCGGCUCAGUAUUGACCGUUCACGUGAGCAGCAUGACGCAUGCGUGUGAUGUUGACACAGGAACUGGCCAAUACUGAAAAAAAGUAUUUUCAUCGCUUCAUAUCAUUAAUGUUGAACCACUGUAGUCACGUCAAAAAAAAAAAAAAAAAAAAAAAAAAAAUUGGAUGACCAGUAAUUUCCUACUACUAAAUUCAGACAAAACAGAGAUUAUAAUUUUUGGACCAAAAACUUCUUCACGUAAUAACCUAGAAUACUGUCUAACACUUGAUGGCUGCUCUGUUAAAUCUUCGUCGUCACUUAGGAAUCUGGGUGUGCUCUUUGAUACCAAUCUUUCAUUUGAAGGCCAUGUUACUAGCAUCUGUAAAACCGCAUUCUUCCAUCUUAAAAAUAUAUCUAAACUACGACAUAUGCUCUCAAUGAAAAAUGCAGAACAGUUAGUUCAUGCGUUCAUGACCUCAAGGCUAGAUUACUGUAAUGCUCUACUGGGUGGUUGUUCUGCUCGCUUGAUAAAUAAACUACAGCUCGUACAAAAUGCAGCAGCUAGAGUUCUUACUAGAACUAGGAAGUAUGACCAUAUUAGCCCAGUUCUGUCAACACUGCAUUGGCUUCCUGUUAAACAUCGUAUAGAUUUUAAAAUCUUGCUAAUUACUUACAAAGCACUAAAUGGUUUAGCUCCCCAGUACCUGAGCGAGCUCCUAAUUCAUUAUAGUCCUUCACGUCUAUUGCGAUCUCAGAAUUCAGGCCAGCUGAUAAUACCUGGAAUAUCAAAAUCAACCGCAGGCGGUAGAUCCUUCUCCUAUUUGGCACCUAAACUCUGGAACAAUCUUCCUAGCAUUGUUCGGGAAGCAGACACACUCUGUCAGUUUAAAUCUAGACUAAAAACGCAUCUCUUUAACCUGGCAUACACAUAACACAUUACCAAUUUAUAUUUUCAAAUCCGUUAAAGGAUUAUUAGGCUGAAUAAAUUAGGUCAGCCGGAACCGGGAACACUUCCUAUAACGCCUGAUGUACUCGUUACAUCAGAAGAAGAAUGGCAUCUACGCUAAUAUUAGUCUUUCUGGUUAUCCCGAGGUUCACCGUAGUCAACCGGAUCCGGGCCGUAUCCAGGUGAGACCAAGGACCUGCACCUUGACACGACCACAACGCAGCCCUGAAGUAUCAGCAGAGAUUGAGUCAACUAGAUCAUCCACUGUGAGGGCCUCAUCGACACGACAGCCACGAAGACAGUUCCUCAACAACCGUCCAUACCGCCGUGAUGAAUACGAUCCUCAAUUGGAUGGAACUGGAAUAAAUAGUUUGAAUGUUGCGAUCCUGUCGUACUUAUGAUAGCUACCUGAAUCGUAACAAAGCACUGUUGGCCAGAGGAGAACUGGCCCCCCGACUAAGCCUGGUUUCUCCCAAGGUUUUUUUUCUCCAUUUAAACACCUAUUUGCCACUUGUCUGCCACCUGAUGUCACCUGAUGGAGUUUGGGUUCCUUGCCGCUGUCGCCUUUGGCUUGCUUAGUUGGGGACACUUGACAUUUGACUUGACAUUUGAUAUUCAACAGUGCUUUGAUCUGCCUGCAUUGACACUAUUCUUUUAAGAGCUGCUGUGCAGCCAAAUAAUGUACCAGUUAUCAAUGUAAAGCUGCUUUGACACAAUCUACAUUGUAAAAAGCGCUACAUAAAUAAAGGUGACUUGACUUGACUUGACGUUAA